UUGAUUCAUUUUCGAAACGCCCGCUAGGGGCGCCGAGAUGGUUCAGAAUUAUAAAAGUCCGCGAGGGACAUACAAAAGAGUUUUGGUUGGUCCUCCGGCGGGCGCCUUGGUCCGGGGCUGCGACGCGCCCGGGGCAUGAAUUUCCCGCCGAGGCAACAGUUUGGUAACGUUCACAUAGGGGUUUGGGAGUUGUAAACUCGGUAAUGAUCCCUCCGCUGGUUCACCAACGGAGA
rnacentral:misc_RNA from 1 species